rnacentral:rRNA from 1 species
GACGUAGGGGGCCAGCGUUGUUCGGAAUUACUGGGUGUAAAGGGUUCGUAGGCGGUGCGGCAAGUUGGGAGUGAAAUCUCUGGGCUUAACCCAGAGGCUGCUUCCAAAACUGCUGUGCUUGAGUGUGGGAGAGGCGCGUUGAAUUGCAGGUGUAGCGGUGAAAUGCGUAGAUAUCUGCAGGAACACCCGUGGCGAAAGCGGCGCGCUGGACCACUACUGACGCUGAGGAACGAAAGCUAGGGGAGCAAACAGG